rnacentral:siRNA from 1 species
UCAAGUUGAGGCCUGAAACGUGAC